GAGUCGAUAGCUCAGUUGGUAGAGCACCGGCCUUUUAAGCCGAGGGUCGAGGGUUCAAAUCCCUCUCGACUCA
rnacentral:tRNA from 1 species